rnacentral:rRNA from 1 species
AUACGGAGGAUGCGAGCGUUAUCCGGAUUUAUUGGGUUUAAAGGGAGCGUAGGCGGGAGCUUUAGUCAGCGGUUAAAUGGUGCGGCUCAACCGUGCCCUGCCGUUGAAACUGGGUUUCUUGAGAGUGCAAGAGGCGGAUGGAAUUCAUGGUGUAGCGGUGAAAUGCUUAGAUAUCAUGAAGAACUCCGAUUGCGAAGGCAGUCCGCUGGGGCACGUCUGACGCUGAUGCUCGAAGGUGCGGGAAUCAAACAGGAUUAGAUACCCUGGUAGUCCGCACGGUAAACGAUGAUUACCCGCUGUCGGCGGUAGACAGUCGGCGGCCAAGCGAAAGCGAUAAGUAAUCCACCUGGGGAGUACGCCGGCAACGGUGAAACUCAAAGGAAUUGACGGGG